AAGGCUGACGACUGGGAAAGCAUCACUGGAGAAGGACCACCAAUGAGGCAGACUUUGGAGAAUGGUGAAAGGAGAGGAUCUGUUGCAAAAUGUGAAAAUGAAAGGGGGAAAGUCUACAGGUACCACUGAUCCCAGACAACCUUUGUCUCAUGUGUGUUUGCCUGGUAAGUUUGCAUUUCAGAUCACAUGUGGAUCAACACAGCUCAAGGCCCAAACAGGUGACUGGCCCAUGAGAAAGGAUUUGUGGCAGCUUGGGAACACACGUACACUGCCUCCUGCUUCUGUACAUAGCAAGAAGAAACUUGUUUGUCAGCAACAGCUCUGCAGCUGUAACCAGAUCUCCCUGCUUUCUGUGAAUGAUGCUUUCUUGUCUCCUGCUGUCAUAAAUACAGCACUGAGGGGUGGUGUGAGCACUCUGCUGGCCAGCUGCCCCUACCAAGGUGAGUGCCUCUCUAUUAAACUAAUGGAUAUUAACUUGUCUCCAGAUAUGUUUUUUGGGAUUGAUAAACCUUAAGCAGAAGCACUGGCCAGGUUUGUAAUUACUAAGUUAAGACUCAGCUCAUUAGCUAGUGCUACCUGCAGCAAGGUGAGGGUGGGAUUGACACUAAAAGAGUCACGGCUGCUUGUGCUGCUGUUCUUUGUGGCAGUCUGAUUUAGUAUAUUAACUCAUUGCUUUCUGUCAGCAGUAGUUGAGAGAGCUGAAAGCCAAAGCAGUCAAAUAUUUUAGGUUUAGGUUAAAUAUUAGGAGGAAGUUUUUCACACAGAGGUGGUGAUGCACUGGAACAGGUUGCCCAAGGAGGUUGUGGAUUCCCCAUCCCUGGAGGCAUUCAAGACCAGGCUGGAUGUGGCUCUGGGCAGCCUGGUCUGCUGGUUGAUGAUUGAAGGUUGAAAUUAGAUGAGCAUUGUGGUCCUUUUCAACCCAGGCCAUUCUAUGAUUCUAUGAUUUCAUCAACUUAGUAGGUAUGUGUGUUCUGUGGUGGGUGUUGUGAUAACAGCUAGAAGCAUAUUGUAAGGAGCUUAAUUGGCAGUGACCCACCACAAUGAAAAGGUCAAAUUUCCUGGGGCUUUGUGAAAAAUGACCUACUGGUUAUUGGGGUUCUUUGCAAAAAUCUGACUUCUUGAAGUUUCAUUUUGUAAUGUUUCAGUGUUAGUAAACAAAGGUCUGUUUUUCGUAAUGUAAAGGAGGAUGCAGGAGAGCAGUUGCAUAACUAUCAGGUGUGUAUGCAUACAUUUAUGCCACUUCAUUAACAUAAAAUUGGAGAAUAUGAGCAGAGUAAUUACAGAAAAAUAAACAGCACCGAUACAACA
rnacentral:lncRNA from 1 species